rnacentral:rRNA from 1 species
GGUUGAUCCUGCCGGACCUGACUGCUAUCGGAUUGAUACUAAGCCAUGCGAGUCUUUGUAGUAAUACAAGGCAUACGGCUCAGUAACGCGUAGUCAACCUACCCUAUGGACGGGAAUAACCUCGGGAAACUGAGUAUAAUGCCCGAUAGAACAUUAUGCCUGGAAUGGUUUAUGUUCCAAAUGAUUUAUCGCCGUAGGAUGGGACUGCGGCCUAUCAGUUUGUUGGUGAGGUAAUGGCCCACCAAGACUAUUACAGGUACGGGCUCUGAGAGGAGUAGCCCGGAGAUGGGUACUGAGACACGGACCCAGGCCCUAUGGGGCGCAGCAGGCGAGAAAACUUUGCAAUGUGCGAAAGCACGACAAGGUUAAUCCGAGUGGUUUCUGCUAAAGAAACCUUUUGUCAGUCCUAGAAACACUGAUGAAUAAGGGGUGGGCAAGUUCUGGUGUCAGCCGCCGCGGUAAAACCAGCACCUCAAGUGGUCAGGAUGAUUAUUGGGCCUAAAGCAUCCGUAGCCGGCUCUGUAAGUUUUCGGUUAAAUCUGUACGCUCAACGUACAGGCUGCCGGGAAUACUGCAUAGCUAGGGAAUGGGAGAGGUAGACGGUACUCGGUAGGAAGGGGUAAAAUCCUUUGAUCUAUUGAUGACCACCUGUGGCGAAGGCGGUCUACCAGAACAUGUCCGACGGUGAGGGAUGAAAGCUGGGGGAGCAAACCGGAUUAGAUACCCGGGUAGUCCCAGCUGUAAACUAUGCAAACUCAAUGAUGCAUUGGCUUGAGGCUAAUGCAGUGUUGCAGGGAAGCCGUUAAGUUUGCCGCCUGGGAAGUACGUACGCAAGUAUGAAACUUAAAGGAAUUGGCGGGGGAGCACCACAAGGGGUGAAGCCUGCGGUUCAAUUGGAUUCAACGCCGGG